rnacentral:rRNA from 1 species
GACGAACGCUGGCGGCGUGCUUAACACAUGCAAGUCGAACGGAAAGGCCCUGCUUUUGUGGGGUGCUCGAGUGGCGAACGGGUGAGUAACACGUGAGUAACCUGCCCUUGACUUUGGGAUAACUUCAGGAAACUGGGGCUAAUACCGGAUAGGAGCUCCUGCUGCAUGGUGGGGGUUGGAAAGUUUCGGCGGUUGGGGAUGGACUCGCGGCUUAUCAGCUUGUUGGUGGGGUAGUGGCUUACCAAGGCUUUGACGGGUAGCCGGCCUGAGAGGGUGAACGGCCAAAUUGGGACUGAGAUACGGCCCAGACUCCUACGGGGAGGAGCAGGGGGGAAUAAUGGACAAAGGGCGGAAGCCUGAUGCAGCAACGGCGCGUGCGGGAAGACGGCCCUCGGGUUUGAAACCGCUUUCGCCUGGGACGGAGCGGUGGGGGCGGGAAUUGGGAAAAAAGCACCGGCUAACUUCGUG